AACAAUACACAUCCUGAGCACGUGCUAGCCACUUCCGCCUACCUGGGCUUUUGUUUUGAUUGGCUUUGGCGGGGAAGGCGGCUAUAUAAGAGGAGUGUUUCGGUGUCUUCCGAGACGAUGAGGUGUAGAGACAGCUGUUUACUUCUAUUGUCGCAUCUACAUGACAUGAUGUGGCCUCUUUGCCUGAUGCUGUUUUCUUCUAUUGCCACACCUACAUGACCUGAUGUGGCCCCUUUGCCUGAUGUUUCGGCUGUAUACUUCUAUUGUCACACCUACAUGACAUGAUGUGGCUCCGUUGCCUGAGGGCGAGAUCAAACUAUCGUAG